rnacentral:rRNA from 1 species
UACGGAGGGUGCAAGCGUUGUUCGGAAUCACUGGGCGUAAAGCGCGUGUAGGCGGCUAUCUAAGUCUGAUGUGAAAGCCCUGGGCUCAACUCAGGAAGUGCAUUGGAUACUGGAUAGCUGGAGUACCGGAGAGGAGGGUGGAAUUCCUGGUGUAGCGGUGAAAUGCGUAGAUAUCAGGAGGAACACCGGUGGCGAAGGCGUCCCCCUGGCCGGAUACUGACGCUGAGACGCGAAAGCGUGGGGAGCAAACAGG